GGGCAGGUACAGAAGUAGUCAAACUGGGCACGCUGUAAACGUGCUGGCCGUGCGCCUUCGGGGGUGCAAAUCCCUCCCUGCCCA
rnacentral:tRNA from 1 species